GCGCGUUUCGUCUAGUGGCUCAGGACUCCGGGGGUGACCCGGCAACGCGGGUUCGAAUCCCGUAACGCGCC
rnacentral:tRNA from 1 species